GACGAACGCUGGCGGCGUGCUUAACACAUGCAAGUCGAACGGAAAGGCCCUGCUUUUGUGGGGUGCUCGAGUGGCGAACGGGUGAGUAACACGUGAGUAACCUGCCCUUGACUUUGGGAUAACUUCAGGAAACUGGGGCUAAUACCGGAUAGGAGCUCCUGCUGCAUGGUGGGGGUUGGAAAGUUUCGGCGGUUGGGGAUGGACUCGCGGCUUAUCAGCUUGUUGGUGGGGUAGUGGCUUACCAAGGCUUUGACGGGUAGCCGGCCUGAGAGGGUUACCGGCCACAAUAGGACUGAGAUACGGCCCAGACGCCUACGGGAGGCAGCAGGGGGGAAUAUUACACAAUGGGCGGAAGCGUGAUGCAGCAACGCCGCGUGCGGGAUGACGGCCUUCGGGUUGUAAACCGAUUUCGCCGGUGACGAAGCGUGAGUGACGGUAAUGGGUAAAGAAGCACCGGCUAACUACGUG
rnacentral:rRNA from 1 species